rnacentral:rRNA from 1 species
UACGUAGGGGGCAAGCGUUGUCCGGAAUCAUUGGGCGUAAAGCGCGUGUAGGCGGCUCGAUAAGUCUGCUGUGAAAGUCCAGGGCUCAACCCUGGGAUGCCGGUGGAUACUGUCGAGCUCGAGUCCGGAAGAGGCGAGUGGAAUUCCUGGUGUAGCGGUGAAAUGCGCAGAUAUCAGGAGGAACACCAAUGGCGAAGGCAGCUCGCUGGGACGUGACUGACGCUGAGACGCGAAAACGUGGGGAGCAAACAGG